rnacentral:rRNA from 1 species
GGAGCUCUCCCNUAUGGUCGACCUGCAGGCGGCCGCGAAUUCACUAGUGAUUAGAGUUUGAUCCUGGCUCAGGAUGAACGCUGGCGGCGUGCCUAACACAUGCAAGUCGAACGAAGCAAUUUAACGGAAGUUUUCGGAUGGAAGUUGAAUUGACUGAGUGGCGGACGGGUGAGUAACGCGUGGGUAACCUGCCUUGUACUGGGGGACAACAGUUAGAAAUGACUGCUAAUACCGCAUAAGCGCACAGUAUCGCAUGAUACCGUGUGAAAAACUCCGGUGGUACAAGAUGGACCCGCGUCUGAUUAGCUAGUUGGUAAGGUAACGGCUUACCAAGGCGACGAUCAGUAGCCGACCUGAGAGGGUGACCGGCCACAUUGGGACUGAGACACGGCCCAAACUCCUACGGGAGGCAGCAGUGGGGAAUAUUGCACAAUGGGCGAAAGCCUGAUGCAGCGACGCCGCGUGAGUGAAGAAGUAUUUCGGUAUGUAAAGCUCUAUCAGCAGGGAAGAAAAUGACGGUACCUGACUAAGAAGCCCCGGCUAACUACGUGCCAGCAGCCGCGGUAAUACGUAGGGGGCAAGCGUUAUCCGGAUUUACUGGGUGUAAAGGGAGCGUAGACGGUAAAGCAAGUCUGAAGUGAAAGCCCGCGGCUCAACUGCGGGACUGCUUUGGAAACUGUUUAACUGGAGUGUCGGAGAGGUAAGUGGAAUUCCUAGUGUAGCGGUGAAAUGCGUAGAUAUUAGGAGGAACACCAGUGGCGAAGGCGACUUACUGGACGAUAACUGACGUUGAGGCUCGAAAGCGUGGGGAGCAAACAGGAUUANAUACCCUGGUAGUCCACGCCGUANNCGAUGAAUACUAGGUGNUUNGGGGAGC